GCUUCCGUCGUUCAAUGGAUAGGACACCGGUCUCCGGAAUCGGCAAUUUGGGUUCGAGUCCCAGCGGAAGCGCCA
rnacentral:tRNA from 1 species